rnacentral:rRNA from 1 species
GAAACCAACAGGGAUUGCCCUAGUAACGGCGAGUGAAGCGGCAACAGCUCAAAUUUGAAAUCUGGCCUCGGCCCGAGUUGUAAUUUGCAGAGGAUGCUUCUGGCGCGGUGCCUUCCGAGUUCCCUGGAACGGGACGCCACAGAGGGUGAGAGCCCCGUAUGGUCGGACACCAAGCCUGUGUGAAGCUCCUUCGACGAGUCGAGUAGUUUGGGAAUGCUGCUCUAAAUGGGAGGUAAAUCUCUUCUAAAGCUAAAUACCGGCCAGAGACCGAUAGCGCACAAGUAGAGUGAUCGAAAGAUGAAAAGCACCUUGAAAAGGGGGUUAAAUAGUACGUGAAAUUGUUGAAAGGGAAGCACUUAUGACCAGACUUGGGCCGGGCGGCUCAUCAGGGGUUCUCCCCUGUGCACUCCGCCCGGCACAGGCCAGCAUCGGUUCUCGUGGGGGGAUAAGACCGUCAGGAACGUAGCACCCUCCGGGGUGUGUUAUAGCCUGGCGGACGAUACCCCCGUGGGGACCGAGGUCCGCGCUCCGCAAGGAUGCUGGCGUAAUGGUCAUCAGUGACCCGUCUUGAAACACGGACCAAGGAGUCGUCCAUUAGAGCGAGCGUUUGGGUGUAAAACCCGCACGCGUAAUGAAAGUGAACGCAGGUGAGAGCUUCGGCGCAUCAUCGACCGAUCCUGAUGUUCUCGGAAGGAUUUGAGUAAGAGUUUUAACGGACGGACCCGAAAGACAGUGAACUAUGCUUGUAUAGGGUGAAGCCAGAGGAAACUCUGGUGGAGGCUCGCAGCGGUUCUGACGUGCAAAUCGAUCGUCAAAUAUGAGCAUGGGGGCGAAAGACUAAUCGA